rnacentral:rRNA from 1 species
CCCUUAGAUGUCCUGGGCCGCACGCGCGUUACACUGAUGCAUUCAACGAGCUUAUAACCUUGGCCGAGAGGCCUGGGCAAUCUUGUUAACGUGCAUCGUGAUAGGGAUAGAUUAUUGAAAUUAUUAAUCUUGAACGAGGAAUUCCUAGUAAACGCAGAUCAUCAAUCUGCAUUGAUUACGUCCCUGCCCUUUGUACACACCGCCCGUCGCACCUACCGAUUGGAUGGUCCGGUGAAGCCUCGGGAUUGUGGUUCUUGCCGCUUUAUUGUGGCGUGACCGCGAGAACUUGUCGAAACCUUAUCAUCUAGAGGAAGGUGAAGUCGUAACA